UAAAAAAAGGUAAGCUACUAAGAGCGAAUGGUGGAUGCCUUGACUGGUAAAGGCGAUGAAGGACGUACUAGACUGCGAUAAGCUACGGGGAGCUGUCAAGAAGCUUUGAUCCGUAGAUUUCCGAAUGGGGCAACCCAAUGUAUAGAGAUAUACAUUACCUAUAUAGGAGCGAACGAGGGGAAUUGAAACAUCUUAGUACCCUCAGGAAAAGAAAUCAAUAGAGAUUGCGUCAGUAGCGGCGAGCGAAAGCGCAAGAGGGCAAACCCAGUGCUUGCACUGGGGGUUGUAGGACUGCAAUGUGCAAGAGGUAAGUUUAGCAGAACAUUCUGGAAAGUAUAACCAUAGAGGGUGAUAGUCCCGUAUGCGAAAAACAAACCUUAGCUAGCAGUAUCCUGAGUAGGGCGGGACACGAGGAAUCCUGUCUGAAUCCGGGUCGACCACGAUCCAACCCUAAAUACUAAUACCAGAUCGAUAGUGCACAAGUACCGUGAGGGAAAGGUGAAAAGAACUGAGGUGAUCAGAGUGAAAUAGAACCUGAAACCAUUUGCUUACAAUCAUUCAGAGCCCUAUGUAGCAAUACAGGGUGAUGGACUGCCUUUUGCAUAAUGAGCCUGCGAGUUGUGGUGUCUGGCAAGGUUAAGCAAACGCGAAGCCGUAGCGAAAGCGAGUCUGAAUAGGGCGCUUAGUCAGAUGCUGCAGACCCGAAACGAAGUGAUCUAUCCAUGAGCAAGUUGAAGCUAGUGUAAGAACUAGUGGAGGACUGAACCCAUAGGCGUUGAAAAGCCCCGGGAUGACUUGUGGAUAGGGGUGAAAGGCCAAUCAAACUUCGUGAUAGCUGGUUCUCUCCGAAAUAUAUUUAGGUAUAGCGUUGUGUCGUAAUAUAAGGGGGUAGAGCACUGAAUGGGCUAGGGCAUACACCAAUGUACCAAACCCUAUCAAACUCCGAAUACCUUAUAUGUAAUCACAGCAGUCAGGCGGCGAGUGAUAAAAUCCGUCGUCAAGAGGGAAACAACCCAGACUACCAGCUAAGGUCCCUAAAUCUUACUUAAGUGGAAAACGAUGUGAAGUUACUUAAACAACCAGGAGGUUGGCUUAGAAGCAGCCAUCCUUUAAAGAAAGCGUAAUAGCUCACUGGUCUAGUGAUUUUGCGCGGAAAAUAUAACGGGGCUAAAGUAAGUACCGAAGCUGUAGACUUGCACACAACUUAGAUUAUUUAAGUUUAGAAUAUGAGAAACUAAGUUAUAUGUUUAGUUAUAUUUUUACUGAUUUUUAUAGAGUAAAGAUAGAAAUAAAACUUAGUAAAAUCAGUAAAAAUAUUCUUAGACUAAAGUUAAGUAGUUUAAGUUGUGUGCAAGUGGUAGGAGAGCGUUCUAUUUGCGUCGAAGGUAUACCGGUAAGGAGUGCUGGAGCGAAUAGAAGUGAGCAUGCAGGCAUGAGUAGCGAUAAUUAAUGUGAGAAUCAUUAACGCCGUAAACCCAAGGUUUCCUACGCGAUGCUCGUCAUCGUAGGGUUAGUCGGGUCCUAAGUCGAGUCCGAAAGGGGUAGACGAUGGCAAAUUGGUUAAUAUUCCAAUACCAACAUUAGUGUGCGAUGGAAGGACGCUUAGGGCUAAGGGGGCUAGCGGAUGGAAGUGCUAGUCUAAGGUCGUAGGAGGUUAUACAGGCAAAUCCGUAUAACAAUACUCCGAGAACUGAAAGGCUUUUUGAAGUCUUCGGAUGGAUAGAAGAACCCCUGAUGCCGUCGAGCCAAGAAAAGUUUCUAAGUUUAGCUAAUGUUGCCCGUACCGUAAACCGACACAGGUGGGUGGGAUGAGUAUUCUAAGGCGCGUGGAAGAACUCUCUUUAAGGAACUCUGCAAAAUAGCACCGUAUCUUCGGUAUAAGGUGUGGUUAGCUUUGUAUUAGGAUUUACUCCGAAAGCAAGGAAACUUACAACAAAGAGUCCCUCCCGACUGUUUACCAAAAACACAGCACUCUGCUAACUCGUAAGAGGAUGUAUAGGGUGUGACGCCUGCCCGGUGCUCGAAGGUUAAUUGAUGGGGUUAGCAUUAGCGAAGCUCUUGAUCGAAGCCCGAGUAAACGGCGGCCGUAACUAUAACGGUCCUAAGGUAGCGAAAUUCCUUGUCGGUUAAAUACCGACCUGCAUGAAUGGCGUAACGAGAUGGGAGCUGUCUCAAAGAGGGAUCCAGUGAAAUUGUAGUGGAGGUGAAAAUUCCUCCUACCCGCGGCAAGACGGAAAGACCCCGUGGACCUUUACUACAGCUUGACACUGCUACUUGGAUAAGAAUGUGCAGGAUAGGUGGGAGGCUUUGAGUAUAUGACGCCAGUUGUAUAUGAGCCAUUGUUGAGAUACCACUCUUUCUUAUUUGGGUAGCUAACCAGCUUGAGUUAUCCUCAAGUGGGACAAUGUCUGGUGGGUAGUUUGACUGGGGCGGUCGCCUCCCAAAUAAUAACGGAGGCUUACAAAGGUUGGCUCAGAACGGUUGGAAAUCGUUCGUAGAGUAUAAAGGUAUAAGCCAGCUUAACUGCAAGACAUACAAGUCAAGCAGAGACGAAAGUCGGUCUUAGUGAUCCGGUGGUUCUGUGUGGAAGGGCCAUCGCUCAAAGGAUAAAAGGUACCCCGGGGAUAACAGGCUGAUCUCCCCCAAGAGCUCACAUCGACGGGGAGGUUUGGCACCUCGAUGUCGGCUCAUCGCAUCCUGGGGCUGGAGCAAGUCCCAAGGGUAUGGCUGUUCGCCAUUUAAAGCGGUACGCGAGCUGGGUUCAGAACGUCGUGAGACAGUUCGGUCCCUAUCUGCCGUGGGCGUAAGAAGAUUGAAGAGAUUUGACCCUAGUACGAGAGGACCGGGUUGAACAAACCACUGGUGUAGCUGUUGUUCUGCCAAGAGCAUCGCAGCGUAGCUAAGUUUGGAAAGGAUAAACGCUGAAAGCAUCUAAGCGUGAAGCCAACUCUAAGAUGAAUCUUCUCUAAGCUCUCUAGAAGACUACUAGUUUGAUAGGCUGGGUGUGUAAUGGAUGAAAGUCCUUUAGCUGACCAGUACUAAUAGAGCGUUUGGCUUAUCUUUAAUAAAGCAU
rnacentral:rRNA from 1 species